rnacentral:rRNA from 1 species
GGCCUUUAGUUUAUGAUUUAAGGUCUGACCUGCCCAAUGAUUAUUUUGAAUGGCCGCAGUAUUUUGACUGUGCAAAGGUAGCAUAAUCAUUAGUUUUUUAAUUGAGAGCUGGAAUGAAUGGUUUGAUGAAAAAAUAACUGUCUCAAUAAAAUUUAUUUAGAAUUUUAAUUUUGAGUGAAAAAGCUUAAAUGUUUUAUGAAGACGAGAAGACCCUAUAGAGUUUAAUAUUAUUAAUAUUAAUUAUUUUAGGUUUUAUUUGUAUAUUAGUGUUGAUAUUAUUUUGUUGGGGUGACAGAGAAAUUUAACUAACUUUCUAUGUUUUAUAACAUUAAUUUAUGAGUUCUUGAUCCUGAUUUUUUGGAUUAUAAGAUUAAAUUACCUUAGGGAUAACAGCGUAAUUUUCUUGGAGAGUUCUUAUCGAUAAGGGAGUUUGCGA